CAAAACUGAAAUGGAACAGGGGCAGAAAAUAGCACACUUUUACUCUACGCAACUGUUGCUUUUUCAUGAUCUUCAGGAAUUUUACUGGGAUAAUUAUCCAAAUAAAUUGCAAGCAUUCUAUCCAAAUGGAGCUCUUUCUGAGAUGAAGAGAAUUCUCAAUGUCAAGAUUUGAACAAGAAGAGAAUGGAAUACACAAUAUGGACAUCCAUAAAAAUUCAUCAGAGAGCAUUUUACUACUGAGCUGCAAAGGGAAAAACUUAAAAUGGAUAUGAAAAGUGAAGAAAGUGAUCAUAGGAGAAAACCAUUUCAGCCCUUAGGUGUAUGGCUGCCAUAUUUGGAGGAGCUGACUGAAGAUAUGAUAAGGAGUUUGAAGCAACAUUGGAAGCUGUGUGCAUCCGGGUUGAGGUAGUAGGUUGUAUGGUUUAGAGUUACACCCUGGGAGUUAACUGUACAACCUUCUAGCUUUCCUUGGAGCACACUUGAGCCGUCGAGGAAUUCUUCAUCACUUUAACCUGAUUGAGCCAAUUUGUGUGCAAGAAGGUAAUGUGUCAUGAGUAUCUUGGAUCAUUGAUUUGGGCCUUUAUUACAUUAAAAUGAUCAUUUCAGCCCUAUUAGAUUAUUCCAUUUGUAUCUGCUUAUGAACAAUGUCAAAAUGGUAUUUCUAAUGGGUUGUCACUCCAUGUUCAAACAUUUUAAGAAAAUUGUAGGUAGUGACUUAAAUUGCAUUAAUAUUAAAGCUUUUUAUCAUCUAUAGAUUAACAAAAUUCAGACCUUAAUUUUCAAAUGGAUCAUUGGUCUAUUUAUAUUGGCUGCUUAGACACUAUAAUAAAAAAUGUCUGCUAGAGUUAAUAGCUCCCAUAGCACAUUAUUUGCGUUUUCCUUAUGACACAUCACUUUCUACCUUAUGUUAUGGCUAUUUAUGUGCUUGCUGAUUUUUUCCGCACUAGACUGUAAGCCCCUUGAGGGCAAAGUCCAUGUUUUAUUUUUCACUGUAUCCCCUCCAAUGCCUUACUCAUAAUGAGCACUAACUAUUUAUUGGAUUAGUGAAUGGAGUGUAAGACCUCACUCUGUGAUGAGUUUCUAUUGAAUAUUUGAAUGAGUUAUGGCAGUGGUCAAACAUCUGAGUUUUAUUUAUUGCUCCUAAAACUGUUUAAAUUUAAUUCCUGGACUGCUCCGCAUCAGUAAUACAUGUGUCGAUUUUUGACUGUGUUGAAUGUGUUCAUUCAUUCUAAACAGAUAAGUUAAAAUUUAGAAGUACUUUUUAUCUAGAAUAAAAAUAAUAGAGUAAAUUCAUUUUUACUAAUUAGUUCAUGACAGUUUAUGAUCCUACACUUAGAUAAUUCAUAUUUCUGUUGAAUUUAAAUACCUUUCUUUCCAGAUGAAUCGUUUUUCUUUUAGCAUCAAUUUCAACUAAAUAUUCUAUUUUAAGUCUCAUUUAACAAUAUGAUUUUUAAAAAUUAGAUUUGUGUCUUUUGUGUAUUUCCCUCGUCUCCUGCCCUUUAUUUUUGUACAGCUAUAUCUGUUGAAUAAACCAGAAGCAACUAAACCA
ensembl:lncRNA MIR99AHG mir-99a-let-7c cluster host gene